GUCCGCGCGGUUUCCGUUUACACGUGACAUUAAUACAGCGUAUCACAGACAACUUAUAGGAAUCUGUGGUUUAAUGCGAGUCGGUAGGCCUUGCAGUAUAUUUCAGUAAUUUCAAGUGAUAAUGGGUAAAGGUAGAAAAUAUAGGCCAAAGAAGAAUUUUGCUGAAAAACGCCGCGAUAAACAGAAGAACAAAGAUGAAUGGGAUAAAAGGCCGCAGAGAUGCUAUGAAGAAAUAAUCAGGGAGAAUGUUGAUUUUGAAAAUUAUUACAAAACCCAAAAUAUCGUUCCUAGCGAAGAAUGGUACAUUUUUAUGAACAAGAUGCGGGAAAACCUGCCGGCCGCCUUUCGAAUAACUGGUUCCAAGGCAGAAACGAAGGCACUGCUUGAUAUAAUUAAAGGGGAUUUUUUCAAUGAGAUCAUCAAUAUAAAACGAGAAAAUGAAGAGGAAGAAGUCAAAGAGAAAGAAAAACUUUAUCCAAAAUGCCUUCCGUUUUAUCCAGAUUCUUUGGCUUGGCAGCUUCAGUUGACUCGUAAGGACAUUCGAAGGUCUGAGGCAUACUUUAGGCUACAUAAUUUUUUGAUUGCUGAAACAGCUAGCGGUAACAUAAGUCGCCAAGAAGUAGUGAGCAUGAUUCCUCCCCUCGUUUUGGAAGUCAAACCUCAACAUAAGGUUCUCGACAUGUGUGCUGCACCAGGUUCAAAGACAGCUCAGUUAAUUGAAAUGAUACAUUCUGAUGAGAGCAACCCACAUCCUGAGGGAUUUGUAAUUGCCAAUGACGUGGACAACAACAGGUGCUACAUGUUGGUGCAUCAAGCUAAGAGAUUGAACAGCCCAAAUAUUCUGAUUACAAAUCACGACUCGUCAGUAAUGCCUAAUUUCAAUGUUGCCAAACCAGAUGGCACGACAGAAAAGUUAAAGUUUGAUAGAAUUCUUGCUGAUGUACCUUGCAGCGGGGAUGGAACAAUGAGAAAAAAUCCAGAUAUUUGGUGCAAGUGGAGUCCUGCGAAUGGAAACAAUCUUCAUGGAAUUCAAUACAGAAUAGCCCAGAGAGGACUGGAGCUCUUGGCAGUUGGUGGAAGAAUGGUUUAUUCCACAUGUUCUCUUAAUCCGAUAGAAAAUGAAGCUGUUAUUCAUAGAAUACUUACCGAAGUUGGUGAUUCUGUUCGAUUAGUUGAUGGAAGAAAUUUAGUACCUGGUCUGAAAUGCAAUCCAGGUGUAAGCCAUUGGACUCUUGCAUCAAAGAACUUACAGUAUUACAAAACGUGGGAAGAAGUUCCUGAGCAAUGGCAAACUCAAAUCCGACCUCAUAUGUUCCCUCCAAAUGCAGCAGAUGUAGAUAAGUUUCACCUUGAAAGGAGUAUGAGGAUAUUGCCACAUCAUCAAGAUACCGGUGGAUUUUUUGUGGCAGUAUUGGAAAAAGUUAAACCACUUCCAUGGGAGAAUAAAGAGGAAAAAAUGGAAGUAGGUUCUGAAAAGCCGUCAACCAAUGAUGCUAAUACUGAAUUGAGUUUGGAAGAAGAAGCAGAAAAAGAAGAAGCAAACCUCAAAGCUACUGAUGGCAAAAGGCCGUUAGAGGCAGAAAAAAAACCGUGGGGUCCUCAAAGAAAGAGGAAAAGGAUGGUUGGAUACCGUGAAGAUCCUUUUGUUUUUUUCAAAGGCGAUAAGGAGGAUGUCUGGCCAUCAAUCAAAGAGUUUUACAAUAUAUCAGAUAAGCUGGACCCAACAUGCUUGUUGGUGAGGUGUCACGAGGGGAAAAAAAAGAACAUAUACUUUACCUCACCAGCUAUACGCGAUAUCGUAAAAUUGAACGAAGCUAAAGUGAAGAUGAUCAAUACAGGAGUGAAAACUUUUGUUCGCUGUGACAAUAAAAACAUGAAGUGUGCUUUUAGACUCGCUCAGGAAGGAUUAAACAGUCUCUUUGACUAUAUCGGCGAAUGCCGAAAGGUUCGAAUCUCAAAGGACGAUCUAGUGAUGCUUUUACAAAAUGACAACCCCAAUACUCCACCUGAGAUAUCAAAAUUGAGCCCAGAUACACAAAGUCGAGUCCAAGAUUUUGCAACUGGAAGCUGUGUACUGAUUUAUAAAGAAGAAUUAAUCGAAGAAGACAAAAACUUGAAUCCUUUGGAGUUGGAGAUGGUUGGGUGGCGAGGUACCAUGUCGUUGAGAGCCUACGUGCCCACUCAUGACGCAAUACAUUAUCUUCGACUCUUAGGAGCAGAUUGCUCUAAAUUUGAAAAGAAUAAGUUCAAAGAGAAUCAGAAUGCAGAGACAUCUAACGUAGAACUCGACAAUGAGGAAUCUAUGGAAAAAGACGAUACGACUGCAAAUGGAAAAGAACUGGAGGAUAAUAAGAAUGAGGAAGAGUCAAGCAACAAUACAUCUUAACAGACGAUCUUGUGCAUAUAUCAUUUGUUAUCUAUGAGAUGCCGACUGGGAAAAAGCAUAUUAUUCCAGGUUUCAAUAUUGUUGAAUUUUGACAGUUUUUCGUUAACUUGACAGACCGGAAGAGUGUCG
rnacentral:misc_RNA from 1 species